CUUCUUAUCUUGGUUUCUUGCUCUUGUUCAAAGAAGUGAGGAGCUGAAGAGAAGGCUAAUCGAUCCUCUGCACAAUCCAUUGAUCGCCAUAUCUACGUCUACUGUAACAGAACAAGUGAAGAACUCAAGAGAAGGCCAGACAAUCCUGAGCACACUUGUUUGAUCGCUGGCCUUAUCUACGUGUACUAAAACAGAACUGUGGUGAGGCCGUGAGGGGCCAAGGGAUCCUGGUGCCAGUUCUCUGACCACCUCCUGUACUUGGGCUGAAACAGUGAACAUGCCAUCCCAGUUAGAAGAUUUUACCAAGACGGGUGUCCUUACACGGGCUUAUCCCCUUGUUGGUGAGUAUUGUCCACAUAAUCUUCAGGAUGGCUUUCUUGUUGAAGAAAGGAUAAAGAUUCUUGUCAAGACUAUGGCUAGAGAUUUGGAUGCCCAUCAUCAGGAGGGUCAUUGCAUCUCAGCAU